rnacentral:hammerhead_ribozyme from 15 species
CAUUAGUCGGGAGUUGAUAACACUCUCCUGAUGAAAUCAUGGUAGGCCGAAACUAGUU